GACGUAGGGCGCGAGCGUUGUCCGGAUUUAUUGGGCGUAAAGAGCUCGUAGGCGGCUCGUUGCGUCAACCGUGAAAACCCGGGGCUUAACUUCGGGCUUGCGGUUGAUACGGGCGGGCUGGAGUUCGGUAGGGGAGACUGGAAUUCCUGGUGUAGCGGUGAAAUGCGCAGAUAUCAGGAGGAACACCGGUGGUGUAGACGGCUCUCUGGACCGUAACUGACGCUGAGACACGAAAGCGUGGGUAGCAAACAGG
rnacentral:rRNA from 1 species